CUCCACUUCUUCAAGGAAGGGUCUUCCAGCUGAGCGCUUCCCUGUUUCUGUCCCUAUCUCCUUCUCUCUCCCAGAAAGUUUCUUGCCUUCUCUUGACUUACAGAAGACAUCACUUCCUUGAAGACUUGGCUCACUAUAAGCCUCCUGGCGGCUCCUUCCUGGGGCACUGGGCCAAACUCCUGACACGAUUAAGAAGAGGUUUUGGAACUGGGCCAGACUAGGAAAACAGGAAAGAUGACGAACAAAGCUUCCCUCCUUCUGAGGGUUGUUUAUUCCAGUGUUCCUUCAGUUGAGUUUUCUGGGUACACAGCAGCCCUUGGCUUUCCAUCCCAUGUGCAGCCUCUGGCCCAGCACUUAGUCCACUCUCAGUCAUAGAGCUUAUCACACAGACUUGCUCCAGUGCCCACUUGUCCAACUGCCCCAAACUCCUGGAAACCAGAAAGAACACAGAUGUAUCUCAACUGAGUGCCUACCAUAUUUCUACAGGAGGAACUGUCUUCGCAUAAAAGCCCCUCUGCAGCUCCUUAAGAAUCAUCUUGUCAAGUUCUGCAAAAAGACAACUGAGACUUUGAUAGAAAUUACAUUGAUUCCAGAGAUCAAUAUGAGGAGUAUUGUCAUCUUAACAAUAUUACUUCUUAUAAUACAUGAAUGUCAGGCUCAAAGUUCUGACAAUAAGCCUGAUUGGCUCAGGUGGGGUCAUGUGACCAGGACAGGUGGGACAUCUUGAAUGACAGUCCCGGAAAUAUUGCACAAAAAGAGGACGAUUUCCCAAG
rnacentral:lncRNA from 10 species